UUUUUAUCUAUACAAUAGAGGAAGUCAAGAGGUUGUCACCCAAGAUAAAACUUACACUCAAUGAAGAGGUCAAACCAGGAAAGCCAGAUUCUGAAGCAGCAGUCAACACCGAAGACCAGUCAUCCAUUGUGGGAGCUGCAUACUAAUCUGCCCCCUUGUCUCUAGCUAUAUAAUGAAAAAUUGGAAAAAAAAAUUGGAAAAUGGAACUUGAUUGUCACAUGAGAUUCUGUCUGCUAGGAUGAUGCUAUCUAUGACAAAGUACACAUGCUGGAAGAAUUGGUUGAGUUUCCCUGCAUGCUGAAAUGGAGGGGGGCAGUGGCCUGUAAUGCACAUGCAAUCUGGAGAGUCACUACUCGUGAUAGGGUUAGGGUGUUAUGGUUAUUGGUUGUCUAGUUUUGCCAAGAGGAUCUCAUAGUGCUUGCUUGUUUGGGCGAAUUGAGUCAGUGGUAGUCCCACUGGAGCAGCUCAAGUCCUCUGAUUUUACUGAUCAACAAGAAUACUAUGCCUGUAAAAUGAAAUAAAGGAGCUUUUCUGGAAGGUGAUGCUGCCGUUGCCGUUGCUGAGGAGGUGAAGAAGAACAACCAUGUAGUAAGAAAGUUGGAGAAGCGUCAACAGAUUUGCACCCUUGACCAGCACAUUGAAGAGCAAUUUGGUGGUGGUCGUCUAUUGGCUUGUAUCUCAUCACGACCUGGACAGUGGCUGUGCUGAUGGGAUGGGAAAACAUUGGACAAUGAGUUGGAGGUUGUUGAGGGAAUGAAGCUAGACAGGGGCUACAUAUCCCCUUAUUUCAUCACCAACCAGAACAAUCAGAAAUGUGAAUUGGAAAAUCCUCUAAUCAUAAUCCAUGAGAAGAAAAUCUCAAGUAUUAAUGAUGUGGUUAAAGUUUUGGAGUUGGUUUUGCAGGUUAGCAUUUCUCUGGUUAGGUUCACUAGUUUCUUCGUUUUUACUAUGAAU